rnacentral:rRNA from 1 species
GACGAACGCUGGCGGCGUGCCUAAUACAUGCAAGUCGAACGCUUCUUUUUCCACCGGAGCUUGCUCCACCGGAAAAAGAGGAGUGGCGAACGGGUGAGUAACACGUGGGUAACCUGCCCAUCAGAAGGGGAUAACACUUGGAAACAGGUGCUAAUACCGUAUAACAAUCAAAACCGCCGGGUUUUGAUUUGAAAGGCCCUUUCGGGUGUCGCUGAUGGAUGGACCCGCGGUGCAUUAGCUAGUUGGUGAGGUAACGGCUCACCAAGGCCACGAUGCAUAGCCGACCUGAGAGGGUGAUCGGCCACAUUGGGACUGAGACACGGCCCAAACUCCUACGGGAGGCAGCAGUAGGGAAUCUUCGGCAAUGGACGAAAGUCUGACCGAGCAACGCCGCGUGAGUGAAGAAGGUUUUCGGAUCGUAAAACUCUGUUGUUAGAGAAGAACAAGGAUGAGAGUAACUGUUCAUCCCUUGACGGUAUCUAACCAGAAAGCCACGGCUAACUACGUGCCAGCCGCCGCCGUAA